rnacentral:tRNA from 1 species
UGCCCCAUGGCCAAGUUGGUAAGGCAGCGGUUUUUGGUACCGCCAUGCGUUGGUUCGAGUCCAGCUGGGGCAA